AAACUUUCAACAACGGAUCUCUUGGUUCUGGCAUCGAUGAAGAACGCAGCGAAAUGCGAUAAGUAAUGUGAAUUGCAGAAUUCAGUGAAUCAUCGAAUCUUUGAACGCACAUUGCGCCCUGUGGUAUUCCGGCAGGCAUGCCUGUUCGAGCGUCAUU
rnacentral:rRNA from 1 species